GGGUUGUGAGGUUAAGCGACUAAGCGUACACGGUGGAUGCCCUGGCAGUCAGAGGCGAUGAAGGACGUGCUAAUCUGCGAUAAGCGUCGGUGAGGUGAUAUGAACCGUUAUAACCGGCGAUUUCCGAAUGGGGAAACCCAGUGUGAUUCGUCACACUAUCAUUAACUGAAUCCAUAGGUUAAUGAGGCGAACCGGGGGAACUGAAACAUCUAAGUACCCCGAGGAAAAGAAAUCAACCGAGAUUCCCCCAGUAGCGGCGAGCGAACGGGGAGGAGCCCAGAGCCUGAAUCAGUGUGUGUGUUAGUGGAAGCGUCUGGAAAGGCGCGCGAUACAGGGUGACAGCCCCGUACACAAAAAUGCACAUACUGUGAGCUCGAUGAGUAGGGCGGGACACGUGGUAUCCUGUCUGAAUAUGGGGGGACCAUCCUCCAAGGCUAAAUACUCCUGACUGACCGAUAGUGAACCAGUACCGUGAGGGAAAGGCGAAAAGAACCCCGG
rnacentral:rRNA from 1 species